UCUGAUUUAGAUGUAGCAAGGGCUGACCUUCAAGAGAAGCUUCCUGAAACACCAUGUUUGAUAGUAUGUGGGGAAUCCAGGUUAACAGCAACUUCAUGUAUGCUGGCUGUUGAUGGUGUAAUUGUCAAUGACCACAUAAGUGACAUAACCAUGGGUGUUGCUAUGCUCCUUGCAGCUUGUUACAAUUUUAGCAUAAUGUAUCCUGCUGGAGCUGCAGCAACACUAGAACACCUCCAAAGAUGUUUCAUUGCCAUAAAUCCAGACAGGGGAAGCAGAAUCGAGAUCAAGAAACACUGCAAGCGUUAUUCGCAGGUCCACCCUAAGGUGCUAUCUUUCAUAAAUGAAAUAUGCUGACUAAGAGUGGAGAAGCUGAAUACCAUUUCAGGAGGACUGUCCACCAGCUCUUCCUGGAUAUCCUCCCACUGUGAACUUGGGAAUUUUGCAGCCACUUACUUCUCCAAAACAACUUUUGUUCCAAGUAGCAUAGCUUCAUUCCCUUCAUCUGUAGAACUCUUACCACAAUACUAAUCAGAAUCAUAGCAGAAUGGUAACCUGAAAUUCAACACAGAUCUCAGAGCUUGUGACCAAACCUGAUUGACUUGCCCCUGAUAAACCGAUUAGAGAGUUACGGCCUUAAUAUUUCAGUCAUUUCACCUACAGAUAAACACUCUUCAUUCAAAUUGUUGAAAUGUCUCCCUGACAAGAGAAAUAAGAGACCUAAUCUUGUACCCCUUGUCGUGUUUACUGUUCAUGGCUUCCUCAUUAUUGCAAAAAUGUACCACACCUUUCAAAAGAAGUUAACGAUUCCUUGAGAUUGCUUUCUGUGUGUUUGGGACCCCAAGAUCUUCCU